AGCUUUGCGCAGUGGCAGUAUCGUAGCCUAUGAGGUUUAUCCGAGGCGCGAUUAUUGCUAGUUGAAAACUUUACCCAAUACCCCGCCUUGACGACUCUCUGAGUCGGCAAUGGCAAUUUUUGACGGUCUCUACGGAGA
rnacentral:snRNA from 1 species